rnacentral:rRNA from 1 species
UACGUAGGCAGCAAGCGUUGUUCGGAGUUACUGGGCGUAAAGAGUGCGUAGGUGGUGCCCUAAGUCUGUUGUGAAAUCUCCCGGCUUAACUGGGAGGGUGCGGUGGAAACUGGGGUGCUUGAGUGUGGGAGAGGUAAGCGGAAUUCCUGGUGUAGCGGUGAAAUGCGUAGAUAUCGUCUGGAACGCCAAAGGUGAAAACAGACUGCUGGGAGUGUGCUGACGCUGAGACACGAAAGCCAGGGGAGCAAACGGG